CGAAGGAUGCAAGCGUUAUCCGGAUUCAUUGGGUUUAAAGGGUGCGUAGGCGGACUGAUAAGUCAGUGGUGAAAUCUCUUUGCUUAACAAAGAAACUGCCAUUGAUACUGUCGGUCUAGAGUAUAGAUGACGUUGGCGGAAUAUGACAUGUAGUGGUGAAAUACUUAGAUAUGUCAUAGAACACCGAUUGCGAAGGCAGCUAACGAAACUAUAACUGACGCUGAGGCACGAAAGUGCGGGGAUCAAACAGGAUUAGAUACCCUGGUAGUCCGCACCGUAAACGAUGAUUACUCGUUGUUGGCAAUAUGACCGUCAGCGACCAAGCGAAAGCGAUAAGUAAUCCACCUGGGGAGUACGCCGGCAACGGUG
rnacentral:rRNA from 1 species